UCCAGGGUAGCCUAGUGGACAUGGCAUCUGCCCGGUAAGCGGAACAUUGUGGGUUCGGUUCCCAUCCCUGGAG